rnacentral:misc_RNA from 1 species
GAUAAGAACGUAGCGAAAUGCGAUACGUAGUGUGAAUUGCAGAAUUCAGUGAAUCAUCGAAUCUUUGAACGCACAUUGCACCUCUCGGUAUUCCGGGAGGUAUGCCUGUUCGAGCGUCAUUUGUACCCUCAAGCUCUGCUUGGUGUUGGGUGUUUGUUCCGCCUCUGUGUGUGAACUCGCCUCAAAACAAUUGGCAGCCGGCGUACUUGUUUCGGAGCGCAGUACAUCUCGCGCUUUGCACUCAUAACGACGACGUCCAAAAGUACAUUUUUACACUCUUGACCUCGGAUCAGGUAGGGAUACCCGCUGAACUUAAGCAUAUCAAUAAGCGGAGGA